rnacentral:rRNA from 1 species
GCAUCCUACGGGGCGCAGCAGUGGGGAAUAUUGCACAAUGGGGGAAACCCUGAUGCAGCGACGCCGCGUGAGUGAAGAAGUAAUUCGUUAUGUAAAGCUCUAUCAGCAGGGAAGAAAAUGACGGUACCUGAGUAAGAAGCCCCGGCUAACUACGUGCCAGCAGCCGCGGUAAUACGUAGGGGGCAAGCGUUAUCCGGAUUUACUGGGUGUAAAGGGAGCGUAGACGGCAGAGCAAGUCUGAAG